rnacentral:rRNA from 1 species
GAUGAACGCUGGCGGCGUGCCUAACACAUGCAAGUCGAGCGAGGGUUUGCUCAGUAUUGAGUAUUCUAAGACUAGAAUGUUCAAUUCUGAGCAAAACCAAGCGGCGGACGGGUGAGUAACGCGUGGGUAACCUGCCCUAUACACAUGGAUAACAUACUGAAAAGUUUACUAAUACAUGAUAAUAUAUAUUUGCGGCAUCGCAGAUAUAUCAAAGUGUUAGCGGUAUAGGAUGGACCCGCGUCUGAUUAGCUAGUUGGUGAGAUAACUGCCCACCAAGGCGACGAUCAGUAGCCGAUCUGAGAGGGUGAUCGGCCACAUUGGAACUGAGACACGGUCCAAAACUCCUACGGGGAGGCAGCAGUGGGGAAUAUUUGCACAAUGGGCGAAAGCCUGAUGCAGCAACGCCGCGUGAACGAUGAAGGUCUUCGGAUCGUAAAGUUCUGUUGCAGGGGAAGGUAAUGACGGUACCCUGUGAGUAGGCCUCGGUUAUC